rnacentral:lncRNA from 1 species
CCCGUUUUUGCCCUUAAGAGGUGGGGUGGGGUCCUCUGAGCUUCAAGCUGCUGGGCUCAGUCUUCCACCCUCCACGCAGCGAGGGGGAUAAAGUGAAGAUCGCGCAGGGUGUCUCGGGCUCCAUCCAGGACAAAGGAUCCAUUCAGAAGUUCGUGCCCUACCUCAUAGCAGGCAUCCAACACGGCUGCCAGGAUAUCGGGGCCCGCAGCCUGUCUGUCCUUCGGUCCAUGAUGUACUCAGGAGAGCUCAAGUUUGAGAAGCGGACCAUGUCGG